rnacentral:rRNA from 1 species
GAUGAACGCUGUCGGCGUGCCUAACACAUGCAAGUCGAACGGAGAUUACAGACGGAAGUUUUCGGGAUGGAAGUCAGUAAUUCUUAGUGGCGGACGGGUGAGUAACGCGUGGGCAACCUGCCCUAUACAGGGGGAUAGCAGCUGGAAACGGCUGGUAAGACCGCAUAAGUCGUUCUGGUCGCAUGACCGGGACGGGAAAUGAGUAAUCAGGUAUAGGAUGGGCCCGCGUCCGAUUAGCCAGUUGGCAGGGUAAGAGCCUACCAAAGCAACGAUCGGUAGCCGGACUGAGAGGUCGGACGGCCACAUUGGGACUGAGACACGGCCCAAACUCCUACGGGAGGCAGCAGUGGGGGAUAUUGCACAAUGGAGGGAACUCUGAUGCAGCGACGCCGCGUGAGUGAAGAAGUAUUUCGGUAUGUAAAGCUCUAUCAGCAGGGAAGAUGAUGACGGUACCUAACGAAU